GACGAACGCUGGCGGCGUGCUUAACACAUGCAAGUCGAACGGAAAGGCCCUGCUUUUGUGGGGUGCUCGAGUGGCGAACGGGUGAGUAACACGUGAGUAACCUGCCCUUGACUUUGGGAUAACUUCAGGAAACUGGGGCUAAUACCGGAUAGGAGCUCCUGCUGCAUGGUGGGGGUUGGAAAGUUUCGGCGGUUGGGGGUGGACUCGCGGCUUAUCAGCUUGUUGGUGGGGUAGUGGCUUACCAAGGCUUUGACGGGUAGCCGGCCUGAGAGGGUGACCGGCCACAUUGGGACUGAGAUGCGGCCCAGACUCCUACGGGAGGCAGAAGUGGAGAAUAUUGCACAAUGGGCGGAAGCCUGAUGCAGCAACGCCGCGUGCGGGAUGACGGCCUUCGGGUUGUAAACCGCUUUCGCCUGUGACGAAGCGUGAGUGACGGUAAUGGGUAAAGAAGCACCGGCUAACUACGUG
rnacentral:rRNA from 1 species